rnacentral:rRNA from 2 species
UAUUAGCUAGUUGGUGAGGUAACGGCUCACCAAGGCAAUGAUACGUAGCCGAACUGAGAGGUUGAUCGGCCACAUUGGGACUGAGACACGGCCCAAACUCCUACGGGAGGCAGCAGUAGGGAAUCUUCCACAAUGGACGCAAGUCUGAUGGAGCAACGCCGCGUGAGUGAAGAAGGCUUUCGGGUCGUAAAACUCUGUUGUUGGAGAAGAAUGGUCGGCAGAGUAACUGUUGUCGGCGUGACGGUAUCCAACCAGAAAGCCACGGCUAACUACGUGCCAGCAGCCGCGGUAAUACGUAGGUGGCAAGCGUUAUCCGGAUUUAUUGGGCGUAAAGCGAGCGCAGGCGGUUUUUUAAGUCUGAUGUGAAAGCCCUCGGCUUAACCGAGGAAGUGCAUCGGAAACUGGGAAACUUGAGUGCAGAAGAGGACAGUGGAACUCCAUGUGUAGCGGUGAAAUGCGUAGAUAUAUGGAAGAACACCAGUGGCGAAGGCGGCUGUCUGGUCUGUAACUGACGCUGAGGCUCGAAAGCAUGGGUAGCGAACAGGAUUAGAUACCCUGGUAGUCCAUGCCGUAAACGAUGAAUGCUAGGUGUUGGAGGGUUUCCGCCCUUCAGUGCCGCAGCUAACGCAUUAAGCAUUCCGCCUGGGGAGUACGACCGCAAGGUUGAAACUCAAAGGAAUUGACGGGGGCCCGCACAAGCGGUGGAGCAUGUGGUUUAAUUCGAAGCAACGCGAAGAACCUUACCAGGUCUUGACAUCUUUUGAUCACCUGAGAGAUCAGGUUUCCCCUUCGGGGGCAAAAUGACAGGUGGUGCAUGGUUGUCGUCAGCUCGUGUCGUGAGAUGUUGGGUUAAGUCCCGCAACGAGCGCAACCCUUAUGACUAGUUGCCAGCAUUUAGUUGGGCACUCUAGUAAGACUGCCGGUGACAAACCGGAGGAAGGUGGGGAUGACGUCAAAUCAUCAUGCCCCUUAUGACCUGGGCUACACACGUGCUACAAUGGAUGGUACAACGAGUUGCGAGACCGCGAGGUCAAGCUAAUCUCUUAAAGCCAUUCUCAGUUCGGACUGUAGGCUGCAACUCGCCUACACGAAGUCGGAAUCGCUAGUAAUCGCGGAUCAGCACGCCGCGGUGAAUACGUUCCCGGGCCUUGUACACACCGCCCGUCACACCAUGAGAGUUUGUAACACCCGAAGCCGGUGGCGUAACCCUUUUAGGGAGCGAG